rnacentral:rRNA from 1 species
AUUGAACGCUGGCGGCAGGCCUAACCCAUGCAAGUCGCACGAGUGGCGGACGGGUGAGUCAUGUCUGGGAAACUGCCUGAUGGAUGGGGAUACUACUGGAACCGGUAGCUAAUCCCGCAUCCCAUCGGAUGUUCCCAGGUGGGAUUGGCUCGUAGGUGGGGUAACGGCUCACCUAGGCGACGAUCCCUAGCUGGUCUGAGAGGAUGACCAUCCACACUGUAACUGAGACACGGUCCAGAGUCCUACGGAAGGCAGCAGUGGGGAAUAUUGAACAAUGGGGGCAAGCCUGAUGCAGCCAUGCCGCGUGUAUGAAGAAGGCCUUCGGGUUGUAAAGUACUUUCAGCGGGGAGGCGUUACCCGCAGAAGAAGCACCGGCUAACUCCGUGCCAGCCGCCGCGGUAAUAC